UACAGAUGUGCCGAGCGUUAGGCGGAAUCACUGGGCUUAAAGCGUGUGUAGGCGGACUCCUAAGUACCUUGUGAAAUCCCACGGCUCACCCGUGGAACGGCUGGGUAUACUGGGCGUCUUGAGCCUUCUAGGGGCCAGCGGAACAAAUGGUGGAGCGGUGAAAUGCGUAGAUAUCCGGAGGAACACCGAAGGCGAAGGCAGUGUCAUGGCGCGUAACUGACGCUGAGGUGCGAAAGCCAGGGGAGCGAACGGG
rnacentral:rRNA from 1 species